rnacentral:rRNA from 1 species
GAUGAACGCUGGCGGCGUGCCUAAUACAUGCAAGUCGAGCGAACGGACGAGAAGCUUGCUUCUCUGAUGUUAGCGGCGGACGGGUGAGUAACACGUGGAUAACCUACCUAUAAGACUGGGAUAACUUCGGGAAACCGGAGCUAAUACCGGAUAAUAUUUUGAACCGCAUGGUUCAAAAGUGAAAGACGGUCUUGCUGUCACUUAUAGAUGGAUCCGCGCUGCAUUAGCUAGUUGGUAAGGUAACGGCUUACCAAGGCAACGAUGCAUAGCCGACCUGAGAGGGUGAUCGGCCACCCGGGAACUGAGCCACGGUCCAGACUCCUACGGGAGGCAGCAGUAGGGAAUCUUCCGCAAUGGGCGAAAGCCUGACGGAGCAACGCCGCGUGAGUGAUGAAGGUCUUCGGAUCGUAAAACUCUGUUAUUAGGGAAGAACAUAUGUGUAAGUAACUGUGCACAUCUUGACGGUACCUAAUCAGAAAGCCACGGCUAACUACGUG